GACGAACGCUGGCGGCGCGCCUAACACAUGCAAGUCGAACGGAGUCAGGAGGAGCUUGCUUUUCUUGACUUAGUGGCGAACGGGUGAGUAACGCGUGAGUAACCUGCCCUGGAGUGGGGGACAACAGUUGGAAACGACUGCUAAUACCGCAUAAGCCCACGGAUCCGCAUGGAUCUGCGGGAAAAGGAUUUAUUCGCUUCAGGAUGGACUCGCGUCCAAUUAGCUAGUUGGUGAGGUAACGGCCCACCAAGGCGACGAUUGGUAGCCGGACUGAGAGGUUGAACGGCCACAUUGGGACUGAGACACGGCCCAGACUCCUACGGGAGGCAGCAGUGGGGGAUAUUGCACAAUGGGGGAAACCCUGAUGCAGCGACGCCGCGUGGAGGAAGAAGGUUUUCGGAUUGUAAACUCCUGUCGUUAGGGACGAUAAUGACGGUACCUAACAAGAAAGCACCGGCUAACUACGUG
rnacentral:rRNA from 1 species